rnacentral:tRNA from 1 species
GCUGGUUUAGUUUAGUGGAAGAACGUCUGCCUUGUAAGCAGGAUGUGGGGGUUCAAUUCCCUCAACCAGCACCA